GACCUCUCUGGAGCCCUCACACACACUCAACCUGGACACUAGACCAGCCAGCUCACACUGGCACCACCAUGGGAAGGAGGACACCCCCUCUCUGAUAGGUCUGUGUGGGUCUCUGCAGUCAGUAGCCAGCAAUAAGUCACUGGCCAGCCUGAAGUCCAGUGAGUGUCUAGCCAGCCCCACCACAGAUGACCAGUCCUGACCUCACCCCGUCCUAGAACAAGAGACCCAGCACAUGGUUUGGAGAAAGAGAGCCAGAUUUGGAUCCUGGAAUUGGAACUCAGCCUUUUUAAAUAACAUUCCACCCCAUCCCGUCCUAAACCCAGAGYUCUAACUUCGUCCCCAGGCUCAAUUCAUAGAUUACCAGAGAUGCAACACAGGUCGUAGAAUCAGACAACUGUGCAUAGAGAUUUAUUUAUUGGAAUUUCUAUGACUAAAUCACAUGGAAUCUGGAUCCAGGAACUCUUGAGUUUUUWAAAAGAAAUAUUGAAGGAACUCAUAGCUCAAAACAUGGGAGCCGCAGUCAAUCAUUUGGAAUUUACAACCCGAACUGACCCUGGAACCGGCGCUUCAGUAGUCAGUCCUUCAAUGUAAGCGCAGAGCCGUUGGAAAAACCAGGACUAUAUUGACCAGGACCGACCCCAUGUUUAUUUAUUAGUUUGUUGUAUAUCUGCACUGAUGGGAAAACAACUGCAUAGUUGAAAGCCAGUUCCGGGUAGGCAUACUGUUGUCACCUAUCUUAUGUGUUCAGAUCACUGCAGACCAAGGAGAACGCCACUUGACACUAUCGACCAGACCUUUUGGUGUCACUUAAAGGACUCCUCAUGAUGUAAACAUGCUCAGCAUCCCAGAGAUUGACAAAACUUGAGGAAUGGCUUUCUUUAGGAUUUAUUUAGGGAUGGGUAAGGAGUGUUGAAGUUUAGGGUUUGUUUCUCAACAGUGUUAAAGCCUGUAGACUAGUGGUUCUGUUCAUGCCUCAUCAACUUGCAGGUGUUGUCCUGUUACCCUGGCAACUUAAGUGAGCUCUACUAUAGAUGGCCAUGGUYGGUCCGACUCAGCGGCCAAAGAAAUACAUCUCAAAGAACGGACGUAUUUAGGUAUUGUAUUCCUGCCAGAGGACUGGACUAUCCUCAUUAUUUAUAAUGUUGGAAGGGCCUUGAAAUAUCUAGAGGAGAACAGUGUUGCUUUUAUGUUUUCUGUUUCUACGGUCAAUCCUCUGUGGUACUUGACUUGCAGCCAUAAUCAUAUUAUUGAUGGCAUUGACUAUCUUAUAAACSAUCAAAAUAAAGUCYGACACUCCAUAUAUAAACUCCCAGUAAUUUAUUGGGUAUUUACCAGCGUUUCGGCAUCACUGUGCCUUCAGGCACAGACACAUUGGUAAAUACCCAAUAAAUUACUGGAAGUUUAUAUAUGGAGUGUCCGACUUUAUUUUGAUCGUUUAUUUGCCAUUAGUCAGCACCUCCACACAAACACAUUGUUCUGGGUGUGCGCCAGRGAAUGUUUUUUAAUUGAAUGCAUCUCAUUCACAAUCCGUUUUGGAUUUAACCACACAGUAUUAUGUUAUAUCUUUAUGCGUCAUAAAGGGUUUGUAUUCUCAGGAAAUGUUUCCUGUCCAACAGGGUUAGGUUGAACCGUUUGGUUAGGUUAAACAUAAUAGGCUGUAUUGGGGUUGCAUUUUCUGUCUCUGACUGCUUUGAGAUUUAUUUUGACCAGAGGCAUGUGGGGAAAGUGUUCAGGGUGUGUUCUGUCUCACACACACACACACACACACACACACUUAAUAGUAUUGUGAUAUUGCACAUUGAUUUUAUUACUUUGAUUUAUUUAUUUUCUCCUGCUAUUUUGAAUAAACUACUGUACUAAACAAUA